rnacentral:rRNA from 1 species
AGGGGGCAAGCGUUAUCCGGAUUUACUGGGUGUAAAGGGAGCGUCGACGGUGAUGCAAGUCAGAAGUGAAAGCCCGCGGCUCAACUGCGGGACUGCUUUUGAAACUGUGUGACUAGAGUGCAGGAGGGGUAAGCGGAAUUCCUAGUGUAGCGGUGAAAUGCGUAGAUAUUAGGAGGAACACCGGCGGCGAAGGCGGCUUACUGGACUGUAACUGACGUUGAGGCUCGAAAGCGUGGGGAGCAA